UCCUACGGGAGGCAGCAGUAGGGAAUCUUCCGCAAUGGACGAAAGUCUGACGGAGCAACGCCGCGUGAGUGAUGAAGGCUUUCGGGUCGUAAAACUCUGUUGUUAGGGAAGAACAAGUGCUAGUUGAAUAAGCUGGCACCUUGACGGUACCUAACCAGAAAGCCACGGCUAACUACGUGCCAGCAGCCGCGGUAAUACGUAGGUGGCAAGCGUUAUCCGGAAUUAUUGGGCGUAAAGCGCGCGCAGGUGGUUUCUUAAGUCUGAUGUGAAAGCCCACGGCUCAACCGUGGAGGGUCAUUGGAAACUGGGAGACUUGAGUGCAGAAGAGGAAAGUGGAAUUCCAUGAGUAGCGGUGAAAUGCGUAGAGAUAUGGAGGAACACCAGUGGCGAAGGCGACUUUCUGGUCUGUAACUGACACUGAGGCGCGAAAGCGUGGGGAGCAAACAGGAUUAGAUACCCUGGUAGUCCACGCCGUAAACGAUGAGUGCUAAGUGUUAGAGGGUUUCCGCCCUUUAGUGCUGAAGUUAACGCAUUAAGUACUCCGCCUGGGGAGUACGGCCGCAAGGCUGAAACUCAAAUG
rnacentral:rRNA from 1 species